CCGCUCAUGGUGCCGCCACGACGCCAUCGCGGGGCAGGAAGGCCAGGUAGGCAGGCAGGGAAGGGCCCCGACAUCACCGGAGCCCAAACCGGGACGGAGUGCCCACCAACAGCACCACCUCCUGCCCUUGGUGGCAGCCGGAGCGCCUUGACCGAAACCGUGAAGGUCUCCAGGGGCGGAGGGAGCGCUCCGGGAGCUGACAGGGGCGCCCCAGCCCUGCGCCCACCCCUGGCAAUUGAGGAAGCCGUGCGUGCGCCCUCGCCUCGGCUCCCCGGGGAGGCGUCACUGCCUUAACUGUCUUCCCCGCUCCAAAACAGGAGGAUUCCUUUUCCCAGCUGUUUCUUUUGAAAUGACUGGAUGUUUUGACAGAGGUGGGUGGAGGAGCGUGGAGAAUCCUUUUCUUUUACCACUUGAGGAUAUUGGAGAGGUGCCUUCAAGAUCCACAACAAAUCACUUACUCUCGGAUAACCAAAUUCCACUCCAGGAGAUCAGGGACAGAAAAGACACUUUUAGAAACAGUGUCUAGACACUGUCCCCGGGGAUGGAUUCCUCUGGGUGGAGAGGGGUGCUGAGUUCUUCACCUUUCAGACUGAGAUCUGCCAAGUUUUCCGGCAUUGCUCUUGAGGAUCUCAGAAAGGCUCUUAAGACCAGACUGCAAAUGGUGUGUGUGUUUAUCAUGAACCGAAUGAAUUCCCAGAACAGUGGUUUCACUCAGCGCAGGCGAAUGGCUCUUGGGAUUGUUAUUCUGCUGCUUGUUGAUGUGAUAUGGGUUGCUUCCUCCGAACUUACUUCGUACGUUUUUACCCAGUACAACAAACCGUUCUUCAGCACCUUUGCAAAAACAUCUAUGUUUGUUUUGUACCUUUUGGGCUUUAUUAUUUGGAAGCCAUGGAGACAACAGUGUACAAGAGGACUUCGCGGAAAGCAUGCUGCUUUUUUUGCAGAUGCUGAAGGUUACUUUGCUGCUUGCACAACAGAUACAACUAUGAACAGUUCUUUGAGUGAACCUCUGUAUGUUCCUGUGAAAUUCCAUGAUCUUCCAAGUGAAAAACCUGAGAGCACAAACAUUGAUACUGAAAAAACCCCCAAAAAGUCUCGUGUAAGGUUCAGUAAUAUCAUGGAGAUUCGACAGCUUCCGUCAAGCCAUGCAUUGGAAGCAAAGUUGUCUCGAAUGUCAUAUCCUGUGAAAGAACAAGAAUCCAUACUGAAAACUGUGGGGAAACUUACUGCAACUCAAGUAGCAAAAAUUAGCUUUUUUUUUUGCUUUGUGUGGUUUUUGGCAAAUUUGUCAUAUCAAGAAGCACUUUCAGACACACAAGUUGCUAUAGUUAAUAUUUUAUCUUCAACUUCUGGACUUUUUACCUUAAUCCUUGCUGCAGUAUUUCCAAGUAACAGUGGAGAUAGAUUUACCCUUUCUAAACUAUUAGCUGUAAUUUUAAGCAUUGGAGGUGUUGUACUGGUAAACCUGUCAGGGUCUGAAAAAUCUGCUGGAAGAGAUACAAUAGGUUCCAUUUGGUCUCUUGCUGGAGCCAUGCUCUAUGCUGUCUAUAUUGUUAUGAUUAAGAGAAAAGUAGAUAGAGAAGAUAAGUUGGAUAUUCCAAUGUUCUUUGGUUUUGUAGGUUUAUUUAAUCUGCUGCUCUUAUGGCCAGGUUUCUUUUUACUUCAUUAUACUGGAUUUGAGGACUUCGAGUUUCCCAAUAAAGUAGUAUUAAUGUGCAUUAUCAUUAAUGGCCUUAUUGGAACAGUACUCUCAGAGUUCCUGUGGUUGUGGGGCUGCUUUCUUACCUCAUCAUUGAUAGGCACACUUGCACUAAGCCUUACAAUACCUCUGUCCAUAAUAGCUGACAUGUGUAUGCAAAAGGUGCAGUUUUCUUGGUUAUUUUUUGCAGGAGCUAUCCCUGUAUUUUUUUCAUUUUUUAUUGUAACUCUCCUAUGCCAUUAUAAUAAUUGGGAUCCUGUGAUGGUGGGAAUCAGAAGAAUAUUUGCUUUUAUAUGCAGAAAACAUCGAAUUCAGAGAGUUCCAGAAGACAGCGAACAGUGUGAGAGUCUCAUUUCUAUGCACAGUGUUUCUCAGGAGGAUGGAGCUAGUUAGCUGUUGUCUGUAGCCCAGCACGAUAAUGGAACUAUACAGCGAAGAGACAAUCUCUGCACUUUGCUAUGUAGCUGUGUACAUAUCACUACAGUUCUAGGAAGUUCCAGUCUACAGUCCAUCCAAAGGACCAACUUGCCUUACACAUCUCAAGGAAUUCAGCUGUUGAAAUCAUUUGAACUAAUCAAGGAAUAAAUCCUAAUGUUCCGGGACUUUAUUUUCACAUACUUGUUAAAUGCUGGAAUAUAUUAUAAAAAUGUUUUCAAGAAAUCACUUAAGUGUUCAUAGACCAGUGUUUCUGACAGGUAAAAUGCUAAAAUAAGCUACCUGUAGUAAGUAUGGAUGGUAUUUUUGGGUUUUGUUGAAUAUUGCAAAUUAACCACACAAAAAAUGUUUAAUUUAUGCAACAAGCAUGUUUGUGCAAAUUUCGUGGAACUUUAAAAAGAAUAAAUAUUUGAGAAAAUAUCUGAUUCACUUACACUACAUUUACUGUAUUAUUCUUUUAUAGCAUUAGGUGCCUUGUAUUUUAAAUCUGUGACAAACCAUGGCAAAUUUUUAAAGGGGAAGUAUUAUUAUAAAAUGAAGAAAUAUGUAUUUCUAAAGGCUAUAUUGCUGUAAACUUAAUUGAUAAAGCUCUGUUUAAUUUAGAGUUUUGAAGAAAUAGUCUCCCUUCAAUUAAGAAAUUUUCAUAAUGGAAUGAUUUAAAUUGAAGUGACAAAGAGUAUUAUUAAAAUAAAAUGUUUAUAUGUGUAUUUGUGUAUUAUAGAUGUAUCAAGUGAUUUCUAAUUUUUUCUCAUAUGAAUAUGCCAGAUUACUCUAGAACUAGAUGCCUCUUCUUUAAAUAAUUUUAGUUUUCCUGAAUAAAUUUGUAAUGGUUAAAGUACCAAGGAAGGAAGGCGAGAAGGGAUUCUGUUUUUAAAAUCACAUCUGAACUGUUCCUCUGCUAAGAUUAAAUUAAAUGUGAAAUACUCGUAAUUGCAAUUCUUAAACUUAGGCACAUGUGCUCACUGUGCACCUGCUCCUGGACUCUGUUCACCAUAGUACCAGUAAAUGUGUGUCCCAGGAUUCACAGGCUUUUGAUUAAUCAAUAUUCUUUUCAAGUUUUCUGUGAAUAGUUUAGUUCUCUUCAAAAUUUCUUAACUAAUCUGAUUUUUAAGAAUUCAGUUUGCAGUGUUUAGCUUCCUAUUCACAUUCUUAAAAUUGCUUUGGUGUUACUAUGAGUCAAAAAUGAAGUUUAGCCUUCCUUCUGCUUCAUUCUGAGAACUUCUUUAUUACCUUUAAAAAUUGUUCAUGAUAUUAAAUUUAAAAUACAAACAGCUCUCUCUCUCUCUCUCUUUUUUAAUCAUCCAGCCCAAAGUGGCAAAAACAGCUCUUUUCUCAUGUGACACCACCAAUAACGCAAGUUAAAAAUAAUGUUGAGUUUAUUAUACUUUUGACCUGUUUAGCUCAACAGGGUGAAGGCAUGUAAAGAAUGUGGACUUCUGAGGAAUUUUCUUUUAAAAAGAACUUAAGGAAGUAACAUUUUAAUUACUAAAGGACUACUUUUGGUUGAAGUUUAUUAUCUAGAUACCUCUACUUUUUGUUUUUGCUGUUCGAUAGUUCACAAAGACCUUCAGCAAUUUACAGGGUAAAAUAGUUGAAGUAGUGGUGGUGAAACUGAAAUUUAAAAUUAUUCUGUAAAUGCGAUAGAGAAAGAAGCUGAGCUUAGAAUCUUUUGGUUGUUCAUGUGCUCUGUGCUCCUCUCAUCACACAGGUCAUGUGUUGUCACUCAGGAUUCUGGAAGUACUAAGCCGUAGUUAACAGGCUGGAUAGAUCUUCAGGCAAUCUUCUUCCAGUAUACUGCUGCUUUUCUGUUUCUUAAAACAAAAAAUCAAAGAACAACUUCUUUAGAAGGAAGCACCACCACUCAAUUGGUUAACUGAAAGUAUGAAUCACUGCUGCUUCGCUUGCCCACCUGUUCUCUUUUUCUCACGGUUUUAUUUCUCGGAAUGAUUGUUGCAUUUGAAUACUGUAGCCAUGGUGAGUGAGCAGUUGAAGACUUCCUUUCUGCACCUUCAUAGUUAAGGGUUCAUCUUCUCACGAAAUAAAGUUGUGCUGGGUUGCUUCAAUUCUGUGGAUUGCCUGGAAACUAGGUAACAAGGCCCUUAGAUCACAACAACCACGUUGCAGGUCUUUGGAAAUGCUGGGAAGGGGUUACAUUCAAGUAACUGCUGACAUCCUUCCUGUCUAUCAGAACCAUGUUGGCCUGUAAUUAUAUUUUUCUGAAUCUAAAAACAAAUAGAAAUUUCUG